GGGGGCGAAACGGUUUCGACGGGGGUGAACUCCGCAGAAGGUCGCGUGUCGAGGUUCCGCUACCUCGUAAAUCCAACGGAAAGUAAGAAACGCGAACGAUAACGCGUACGCUCUCGCUGCUUAAUACCCAGUAAGAGAGCCGCUUCCCUCGGGUAGGGUCCGUGACCCGAGAGGGGGUGUCAAAAUAGCCGGGCUAGCGCUCCUUGAUGUCCGUCGCUUGGAGGGCGAAAUCAAAGACGGAAUAGCCCGAAGCGGGGCUCGCCGGUAGGCGCCGCAAAGGGUGAAUCAAAUACCGGCUACACACGUAGUGGCCCCUGUGAAGCACUUUCGGACCCGGGUUCAACUCCCGGCGCCUCCAUGG
rnacentral:tmRNA from 1 species